GACGAACGCUGGCGGCGUGCUUAACACAUGCAAGUCGAACGGAAAGGCCCUGCUUUUGUGGGGUGCUCGAGUGGCGAACGGGUGAGUAACACGUGAGUAACCUGCCCUUGACUUUGGGAUAACUUCAGGAAACUGGGGCUAAUACCUGAUAGGAGCUCCUGCUGCAUGGUGGGGGUUGGAAAGUUUCGGCGGUUGGGGAUGGACUCGCGGCUUAUCAGCUUGUUGGUGGGGUAGUGGCUUACCAAGGCUUUGACGGGUAGCCGGCCUGAGAGGGUGACCGGCCACAUUGGGACUGAGAUACGGCCCAGACUCCUAUGGGAGGCAGCAGUGGGGAAUAUUGCACAAUGGGCGGAAGCCUGAUGCAGCAACGCCGCGUGCGGGAUGACGGCCUUCGGGUUGUAAACCGCUUUCGCCUGUGACGAAGCGUGAGUGACGGUAAUGGGUAAAGAAGCACCGGCUAACUACGUG
rnacentral:rRNA from 1 species